rnacentral:rRNA from 1 species
UGGGAAUAUUGCACAAUGGGCGAAAGCCUGAAUGCAGCAACGCCGCAGUGAGUGAUGAAGGCCUUCGGGUUGUGAAAUGCAUCUGUCUUUUGGGACGAUAAUGACGGUACCAAAGGAGGAAGCCACGGCUAACUACGUGCCAGCAGCCGCGGUAAUACGUAGGUGGCAAGCGUUGUCCGGAUUUACUGGGCGUAAAGGAUGCGUAGGCGGAUUUUUUAAGUGAGAUGUGAAAUACCCGGGCUUAACUUGGGUGCUGCAUUUCAAACUGGGAAUCUAGAGUGCGGGAGAGGAGAAUGGAAUUCCUAGUGUAGCGGUGAAAUGCGUAGAGAUUAGGAAGAACACCAGUGGCGAAGGCGAUUCUCUGGACCGUAACUGACGCUGAGGCAUGAAAGCGUGGGUAGCAAACAGGAUUAGAUACCCUGGUAGUCCACGCCGUAAACGAUGAGUACUAGGUGUAGGAGGUAUCGACCCCUUCUGUGCCGCAGUUAACACAAUAAGUACUCCGCCUGGGAAGUACGAUCGCAAGAUU